ensembl:snRNA U4 U4 spliceosomal RNA
AGCUUUGCACAGUGACAGUGUCAUAGCCAGUGAAUUUCAUCUGAGGUGUGGUUAUUGCUAAUAGAAAACUUUUCCCAAUACCCUGCCAUGACGACUUGGAUUAUAGUCUGAAUUGGCAAUUUUUGACAGUCUCCAUGGAGC